GGAGAGGAAGAAUUAGCAGCUUCCUCCCUGCCACCGAAUUUUCUGGAAUGUCUUGCUCCCAGCAUCUCUUGCAAAUUGGAACCUUGGGGAUAAUCCACUGAUUACACCUGCCUCAUCCAAUCUGAUGGGAAGAUUGCAUGGUGGAGGGGCAUCUGUGUGGUAAUAAUAACUGCAUAAGCAUCAUAUCGUGCAAACCUCACAAUAGGUAUAAAAGGACCAUAGCACUGUCACUCACCUGUGCUUUUGCUAGGAAGAUCUGACCCUGUCCUUGACUGUGGCCUGGCUCAUGAGGUCUGGGAAACAGGGUGGGGAAGGGACAGGGAGUGGGGAGAGACUGUCUCUGGGACAAGAACAUGAAUGUGGGUUGGACUUGCUCCCGGGCAUUUGCUUAGUGCCCAGUGAAGCUCAUGCUUUCCUGGUUCUUUCUCAAGCCCCGUCCAAGCACACCUCAGCUUUCUGGAAUGUGGUUUCCUUUUCUCCCCUUCUGCUUCUUCUCUUCUCUUUGCCCAGGUGCUAAGGGUAAGGGUACCUUGUGCCUUCGAAAGCAGGUACUUCUAUUUAUAGCUUCCAGAAGAUCCAACCCACACUCUCCUGUCAAUUAAGCCUGUUGUGGAGCCUGAUACCUCUAAAUUCAUCCGUGGGCUGCCUGAGUGGCAGGCACAGGGUGAAGGAUAUGGGUGAUGGCUUUUACCUAUUCCAGGGUGUCCCCUGAGCCCCUGUUUCAUUUGAGCUUCUUACCCUAAAGCGUGAGCCUGCCUGUCGUGAAGUCCAGCCAAAUGCCGGUGGCUUGUGCACAGAGAAUCCUACGGUAAAUAAGCAUGGGGGUGCUACCAGGUCCACCCAAAAAUAAAACAGAAUAGGAUUGGUAAACAACUGGAUGAUAAUAAACCAGUUUGCAAUUCAUGGGGACAGAUGUGGAGACGUGGGGAGUUGCUAUCCUCUGGGCUCCCUGUGAGAAGCUCCCCAGGGAGACACACGCAUGCACCCACAUGCACCCACAUACACACACACACACACACACACACACACACACACACAUGCACCAACACAACACACCAACACAGACACAAUCCCACGCUAGAAAGGGCCUGAGCCACCACCUCCCAUCCACAGGGGAUUCAGUCUAUGCCUACCCCACAUGUGGACACCUAUUCCUCAAUACUCCUCUCUUCAGAGUCUCCUCCAGAGACGGGGCAGCCAUCUUUGCAAGGGGGGGGUGCAUCUCCAGGACCUGGCUCAUUCUUUCUUUCUACAGUUCUAGAAAAGCUGAGAUUACUCCCCCAUGCUAGUUUGGGAGAGUGGUCAUGAGUGACACUCGGGAGAACAGCAAAGCCAGGGUGGACCAAGGGUGGGUGUGAGCCCCAGUUCUCCAAGUCCAAGUGACUGGGGAAGGUCGGGGUGUGAGGGACAGGUUGAGACAGGACCUGAGAAACACCCACACUGCCAAGACAAGCAUUUACACACCCACACACAGGUAAGCACAUGUGUACGUGCACACGUAUACACACACGCACACAUACACUGAAUGUGCCCGCCCACACCUGCCGCACACGGGCUGCACACACCUCCUCGGACAUUCUCAGACCCACUCACUCACCUACGCACUCGGGUGCCUCCGCCACGUUCCACAUUCUAAGAAUGUCCCACAGUUUCCCCUCUACAAGCUGUCACCUCCACACAGACCCACACAUGUUCAAGUUCAUAGGCUCACGCACACAUACAGGCACACAUUCUCACAAGCUAUAUUUGGGGGGAAGAGAAAGCCACAGGCGCGUCCUACCUCCACAGAAGGCAUACAAUCCAUAUGCCUGCUUGCACACACAUGUGUAUUCACACGCACGUCAACCUCUGCCCAUAUUCUGAUAUUCUCUCUCAAGUCUUCCCCAGGCUCAAAGACCCCAGCUAUGGAAAUGUGGUUUGUCUCUAGCCACACUCUGCCAGCCCUGAUCCUUCCCGUGCCAACAGGUUUGCACACCUAUGAGGGGCUGCCCACAGACAGUGGCUUCUGCCCACACUCUCCACCUACCUAUCCCUUUCUGCUCUGGAGUCACCCCUCCCCACAUAGAAAUGCUUUGGUUGCACGCAUUCCCUCCCUCACCAUGUACUCCCACACACAUGACAAGUGAUAUGUCCACCCCAUAAAUAUACUGCCUCACACUGCCCCCGCCCACAUAACCCAAAGGCUACUCAGAUAAGUGACCCCCCCCCACACACGUACCUCACAUGUACAAGAAACGUAUGUUCCUAAACAUGCCACACAGCUGUGGAGACCCACACAUGAGCACAGGCGUGUACAUACAGAACUAUCUACGCAAGCAAACCUCCAGGCUCCUUGCAAGCAUGCAUACAUGCCGUGCACAUGGAUACCCCUUGCCCAUGCCCAUCCAGAAAAGCCACCCACAAGCCAGAGGGAAGUCUCUCCCCACCCCACUGUCCCUGUUGGCAUCGCUGACUGCAGCAGAAUGGUCACGGGGUGACUGACUGUGGUGCCCCGGGGACUGGAUCCGGGGGUUAACCUCUUUGCCAAGGCCCUGGGGAACAGGGGACAAGGUCGUUGGCCCUGGCAAUCCAGGUGGGUACCAUGGGCAGUGGCAGGCCCCUGGUGCCCCCACCUCCUAGCCCCUUGCCACCUGAGUCCCUCUCAGAAUUGACAGCAGG